UGCCAGCCGCCGCGGUAAGACAGAGGGUGCAAGCGUCGUUCGGAAUCAUUGGGCGUAAAGCGCACGUAGGCGGUUCUGCAAGUCGGAUGUGAAAGCCCAGGGCUCAACCUUGGAAGUGCAUCCGAAACUGCCGAACUAGAAUCCCGGAGAGGGUGGUGGAAUUCCUGGUGUAGAGGUGAAAUUCGUAGAUAUCAGGAGGAACACCCGUGGCGAAGGCGGCCACCUGGACGGAGAUUGACGCUGAGGUGCGAAAGCGUGGGUAGCAAACAGGAUUAGAUA
rnacentral:rRNA from 1 species